rnacentral:rRNA from 3 species
AACAGGAUUAGAUACCCUGGUAGUCCACGCCGUAAACGAUGUCGACUUGGAGGUUGUUCCCUUGAGGAGUGGCUUCCGGAGCUAACGCGUUAAGUCGACCGCCUGGGGAGUACGGCCGCAAGGUUAAAACUCAAAUGAAUUGACGGGGGCCCGCACAAGCGGUGGAGCAUGUGGUUUAAUUCGAUGCAACGCGAAGAACCUUACCUACUCUUGACAUCCACGGAAUUCGGCAGAGAUGCCUUAGUGCCUUCGGGAACCGUGAGACAGGUGCUGCAUGGCUGUCGUCAGCUCGUGUUGUGAAAUGUUGGGUUAAGUCCCGCAACGAGCGCAACCCUUAUCCUUUGUUGCCAGCGAUUCGGUCGGGAACUCAAAGGAGACUGCCGGUGAUAAACCGGAGGAAGGUGGGGAUGACGUCAAGUCAUCAUGGCCCUUACGAGUAGGGCUACACACGUGCUACAAUGGCGCAUACAAAGAGAAGCGACCUCGCGAGAGCAAGCGGACCUCAUAAAGUGCGUCGUAGUCCGGAUCGGAGUCUGCAACUCGACUCCGUGAAGUCGGAAUCGCUAGUAAUCGUGGAUCAGAAUGCCACGGUGAAUACGUUCCCGGGCCUUGUACACACCGCCCGUCACACCAUGGGAGUGGGUUGCAAAAGAAGUAGGUAGCUUAACCUUCGGGAGGGCGCUUACCACUUUGUGAUUCAUGACUGGGGUGAAGUCGUAACAAGGUAACC